AUUUGGUCGUAAUGCUCGCUUCUACAUAUGUGUUUGCGCUUCACUUAAGUUGCGCGACCAAAGCGACUACACAGUUCAUGUGUUUCAGCCUUUUCCCAUUGACGUUUGUCUGAUGUUACAGACUCUUCAAACAGCUGUUGUUACAGCUAUUCAAAAGUUGUAUUUUGUGCAAGAAAUCAGUGUUAAAAGUUGCGAUGAUUAAUUUCAAAUACGCGCUAUGUCGUUUUGAGGAGAACAUUAAAAAAAUUUCAAAGAAAUAUCUUGCGUCUCAACGGACCCGACGCCAAAAACGCUGUUAAAUGCUCGUGAGCCUGAGUGAAAUUUUAGGUUUUAUGCAAAAAAAGCACGGAAAUUUCCGAAAAGUGAGACAAAGCUUUAUUAUGAAGAUUGUACAUCAAAACUCAAGCCGUCCAAGAUCUUCUGACCUUCCAUGUAACUGAAGUGAACGUCUUCAAACCGCACAUGCGCAUUUGGAUCGCCAGGUUUGAGAAUCAGAGGAAAAGAAUUCUCUUUUUCCUAUUAAUGAAUACGUAAGUUUUAAAAAAAAUUAAUAAAUUAGUUGUCAUUUCUUUAAUUAGUUUGAAUCUGGCUUCGAUAUUCGUAUCAAUUUAUUCACAAAUUGUCUACAAUGUUGUUAUGUUAAACUCAUUCGAAUAAAAGCCGCAGCGGUAAAAGCGGCGUUUAUUAGAGACAUAUAUAAAUUGUAAUUGUAAUUUAAAAGUCAAAGCA